AAUCAACGCUGGCGGCGUGCCUAACACAUGCAAGUCGAACGCGAAAGCCCCGCAAGGGGCAAGUAGAGUGGCAAACGGGUGAGUAACACGUGGGUGACCUGCCUCAGAGUUGGGGAUAACGACCCGAAAGGGUCGCUAAUACCGCAUAACAUCCUGCGUUUGGAUACGCGGUGAUCAAAGCCGGGGAUUCGCAAGAACCUGGCGCUUGGAGAGGGGCCCGCGGCCGAUUAGCUAGNGGUGAGGUAACGGCUCGCCAAGGCUACGAUCGGUAUCCGGCCUGAGAGGGCGGACGGACACACUGGGACUGAGACACGGCCAGACUCCUACGGGAGGCAGCAGUGGGGAAUUGUUCGCAAUGGGCGCAAGCCUGACGACGCAACGCCGCGUGGAGGACGAAGA
rnacentral:rRNA from 1 species